rnacentral:rRNA from 1 species
CACUCCUACGGGAGGCAGCAGUGGGGAAUAUUGGACAAUGGGCACAAGCCUGAUCCAGCCAUGCCGCGUGAGUGAUGAAGGCCCUAGGGUUGUAAAGCUCUUUCACCGGUGAAGAUAAUGACGGUAACCGGAGAAGAAGCCCCGGCUAACUUCGUGCCAGCAGCCGCGGUAAUACGAAGGGGGCUAGCGUUGUUCGGAUUUACUGGGCGUAAAGCGCACGUAGGCGGACUAUUAAGUCAGGGGUGAAAUCCCGGGGCUCAACCCCGGAACUGCCUUUGAUACUGGUAGUCUUGAGUUCGAGAGAGGUGAGUGGAAUUCCGAGUGUAGAGGUGAAAUUCGUAGAUAUUCGGAGGAACACCAGUGGCGAAGGCGGCUCACUGGCUCGAUACUGACGCUGAGGUGCGAAAGCGUGGGGAGCAAACAGGAUUAGAUACCCCUGUAGUCCCA